UGCACUGAGGCAGGCCACUAGCUUG
rnacentral:piRNA from 1 species